rnacentral:rRNA from 1 species
UACGAAGGGGGCUAGCGUUAUUCGGAAUCACUGGGCUUAAAGCGCGCGUAGGCGGCAUUGUAAGUUAGGGGUGAAAUUCCAUCGGCUCAACCGUGGGACUGCCUUUGAUACUGAGAAGCUUGAGUCCGGGAGAGGUGAGUGGAACUGCGAGUGUAGAGGUGAAAUUCGUAGAUAUUCGCAAGAACACCAGUGGCGAAGGCGGCUCACUGGCCCGGUACUGACGCUGAGGUGCGAAAGCGUGGGGAGCAAACAGG